AUUGGUGUCUGUGCAUCACUGUCCCCAGGGUGGGUAGAGCCCUGUGUCCCGGAGGUAUGCGGCCCAAGAUAAGGUCUCCCGCAGAAGCGUACAGCUACAAGUGGUGACCCCGACGUGAUUAGCGGGGAGGCUUGGCAGGGUCUGCUGACAUGGAUCCUCAUGCUAGCCGUGCCAUUGGGAAAAGAAAUGAGCUCCUUGACAAGAUCACAAGCAAUAUUGCAACGAGAGCGACACUGGGAAAGGGCGGCAAAAGAGAGAUAUAAACUGGAACUGGAUGAAGGGACAAAUCUCUGAGCUCCUGAAGUAUAUUUUACACACCGUAUCCCUUGCGUUACUCUUCAACAAAAAACCGAAAGCAAACUGCAGCCUGCCCCUUCCCUUCUUUCCAGUAGUAACUGCGCCAUCAGCCAUGGCCAGCCUGCGCUGCCGGUGGGAGCCGCCUAUCUUCAGCAGUGGUGACUGUCAAAAUCAGACGCUUCAUUUCAGAAAUACCUGCUUCUGCAAGAUGUUUGUCACCUACCCGCUGACAUCAUCUAACCUCACAGGCAUUGGUCCUCACUCCAGCUGGGUCACUUUAAAAGGAACAGACAAGCCAGCAGAAAACCAAUUUGUAUUAGAGUUGCCCACGUGGCAACCAUAGCAGGCCUAGGGCCUUCACAAAUGGAAUUUAUUUUCCUUACACAGUAAAUUAGACAUAUGUUUAAAAAAGUC